GGAUUGUGGCUCAGUGUUAGAGCACUUGCCUAGCAUUCCUGAGGCACUGGGUUCGAUCCUCAGCACCA
rnacentral:tRNA from 1 species